rnacentral:rRNA from 1 species
UAGCGUAGGGUGCAAGCGUUAAUCGGAAUUACUGGGCGUAAAGCGUGCGCAGGCGGUUGUGCAAGACAGAUGUGAAAUCCCCGGGCUUAACCUGGGAACUGCAUUGGUGACUGCAUCGCUCGGAGUAUGGCAGAGGGGGGUAGAAUUCCACGUGUAGCAGUGAAAUGCGUAGAGAUGUGGAGGAAUACCGAUGGCGAAGGCAGCCCCCUGGGUCAAUACUGACGCUCAUGCACGAAAGCGUGGGGAGCAAACAGG